CUGUACAGACGGGUUGGAGAUAACAGGACCAAUACUCUCACCCUGCCCAUCAUUCAGUACAUUGAGUUACGCUUGGAGUACGUAUCCCAGCUCACACAGCUGAGAGAAAGAGACACACGUUACCUACAGAGAACACAGGACAAGGUGACUAAAAGCAGGAGACUUUACUCAUUUUUUCUUUCUUUCUUUUUUAUUGGUGUGUCUUUUCGCAAGAGCCAGACCGAAACCAUUUACUGUCCGCACACAGUCGGCUUUUUUCUCCUUUCCUUUGUUUUCUUUGUAAACUUCGGCUCAGUCAGCAUUUGCCGGUGUGUCACCCACUACUCACCCCUACAUUUGACACGGGCUGUCCCCGUUUAAGCUUUAGAGCUCGGAGGAAAAGCAACUUUGAUCGUGGACCUGGGAGCUAACUGUGAAAGUGGUUGCUGCUCUCAGACAGGAUACUUUGAAGCCAUUGGGAUGUUAGCUGUGGCUGUGACAGCAGGACAGACUGAAGGAGCAUGGUGAAACACCAACCCCUCCAGGUCUAUGAGCGGCAGCUGUGUUUGUCAUGUAUCACUGGAUGCUAUGGUUGCCGAUGGAAACGCUAUCAGCGGUCACAUGAUGACACCACCAAGUGGGAGCUGUUGUGGUCCUUCAUCCUCCUCAUCACCUUCUGUCUACUGCUCGUCUGGUUCUACUUCUGGUGGGAGGCACACAACGACUACAACGAAUUCAACUGGCUCUUGUACAACCGCUCUGGGGAGUGGAGCGAUGGCACGGUUCCCAUCUUGGCCACUACUGCUGCUGGUUUCACAUAUAUUGCAUUUUUAAUGGUUUUGGCACUUUGCCAUGUUUCACUUGGGCAGCAGCUGAAUUUGCACUGGCUCCAUAAGAUAGGAGUUAUUGCUGCUUUGUUCACAACCAUCGUUGGGAUGAUAUCUGUCAAUCAAACAUGGUGGCAAGAGUGGGAUGUCAUCCCCAUCUCCCUGCAGGCUACAGGUCCAUUCCUGCACAUAGGGGCCCUCGCUGCAGUGACAGCAGUGUCUUGGAUUGUUGCAGGGCAGGUCGCUCGGGCAGAAAAACUAAUUUCCCAGGUGGUGGUUGUGCUGCUGUAUCUCAUUGUGUUAGUAGGACUCUACGUAGUGCCCCUGUAUAUCAACUCCCCAUGCAUCAUGGACCCCAGCACUCUCAAACCACGCCCCGAUGUUAUUGGUCACCAAGGAGCCCCCAUGCUAGCUCCCGAGAACACAAUGAUGUCUUUCCAGCGAGCUUUGCGCAUGAACGUCACUGGACUGGAGGCUGACGUUGCGAUCAGUGUUGAUGGUGUGCCUUUCCUGAUGCACGAUCUUACCCUGCGGAGGACCACAAACGUGGAGAGUGUUUUUCUUGACAGAAAGGAGGUGGAAGCCUCAUAUUUUAACUGGACGGAUCUACAGCAGCUCAGCGCAGGACUCUGGUUCCUCAAGGAUGACCCCUUCUGGACGGUGCACACUAUGUCUCAGAAGGAGAAGGAGAGGAUUGCCAAUCAGAGUGUAUGCAGCCUGGAGCAGCUUCUAAAACUGGCCUCGUAUCAUAACAUCACAGUGGUGCUCAGGUUGCAAAGGCCUCCUCUGCAGCACCCCCACUACCACAGCUGGAUUAAUGACACGCUGCAAGUGGUGAAGCAGUCUGGGAUUUCUCAAAGCCUGGUGAUUUGGACUCUCGAUGCGAACAGAGCUCUUGUGAGGCAAGAAGCACCUGAUCUGAUCCAAGCCUCAGUGGUAAAACAUAGUCCUCAGACUCUGCUGCAGUCAAACAUCAGCAGGCUGCUGCUCAGAUACAACCAGGCUGACACGAGCGAAAUCAGAGACUACUCCAAAGCCCAAAUCAACGUCACACUCUACACCGUCAACGAGCCGUGGCUGUACUCAGUGCUCUGGUGCAGUGGGGUGUCUUCAGUCUCCUCAGAGGCCCCACAUAUCCUCAUUAAGGUGCCUUAUCCUAUCUGGCUCAUGGGGCCAGUUCAAUACCUUCUGAUGUGGUUGUCUGCAGACUUCCUCUCUUUUGCUGUGGUCAUUGGAAUAUUCAUUUUCCAGAACUAUCACAUAAUCAGGUAUCGGAUGAGCGGCAUGCGCAGCUACAAUCCUGAGCAGAUAAUGCUGAGCUCUGCGGUCAGGACGUCCAGUCGAGACAUCAACGUAAUGAAGGAGAAACUUAUCUUCUCUGAUCAACCCCAGUAACUGCCUCCCUCCUCCGCCCUUUAUGUGACGUGCCACACCUCCUGACCAUCCCACCAUCUCCGUCUUCCUCACAAGCAUUGACUUCUCACUUUCUCCCACUGCAUCCCAUGUUGCCCUUCCACCUCUCUGCCUACUCUACCCUUUUUCAUCUUCAUCCAUUCAUUCAUCCGUCAUCCCUUCACACAUCCAUCCUCUUCCACAAUCCUCCCAGUGAAGAUGACAUUGUGUAGGAAAGCUUAUAGAUGCCACAGUCUGUUUAGCCUGUUAUGCUGGGGAUCAAAGAGGUGGGGAACGGAGUCAGCGGUGCUGAGGAGCUGUACGGGGAUAAUGGCUUCGAUUAUUACACCAAUCAGGGCAUCAGCCAGUAACUGAGACUGUGCCUGUGUGAGUCUGCUUUAAUGAGCUCAAAAACAACAUCAUUCCUUCAUCAGUGUGAGGCCUCUUCCCUCCUCUGGCCCACUGAUGAACUGACAGACUGUUUCUACUGGAAACACUCAAUUCCCUUCUGUACAUUCUGUAAAUGUCUCACUAUUUCCUCAUGGACAUUGUAUGUCAUGCAAGCACUUCUUACUGGUGGAAAUGUCUGAAUCUGUAGAUUCCUCCUGUUGCAUCCAAAUAUGUAAGAGGCCCUUUGAGUCAGAAAUGCAUGCUUCUUCUUCUUUUUUUUUAAGAGAUAUCUGUCAAGAUUCUUUGUUUUAAGCUAAAUUUCCAAAGCAGUUUAUUGUACGCACUGAAACUAAUGUUCUUCUCUUAGAGAUGAGUUUCCUUUUAAGGCUUUUUUUAGCAGGCUUUAUCGCAGCAUGAGGUUCACGUUAAUAUUUAUAUUUAAAGAGAAAAGCGUUUACAGAAGUCCUGCCUUCUCCUCCAGGUGAUAUAUUCGUAUCUAAGAGUUUUUGAUACUUCCUCUGCUGUACUUCUGAUCCAUUCGUGCAGGUUUUGGGCUUUCUGGACUUUGUGUGAGCUGUGCUCACAGUGAAACCAGAAGAACUGGUAACAGUUUGGAGGAUUAAGAUGAGUGUUUUUUGGUUAAUGAUGAAUGUGUUUUUGAUUGUUUUGUUAAAACGUGUUAAUUGUAUUGUGUGUAUUUUGCUGGGUAUGUAUUUUCUACCUUGCAUGCAAUGCUUUAUUUAGUGUGUUACUUUUAUGAGCAGUGAACUAAAAUGUGAGAUGCUCGAGCCAACUACAAAAAAAACAUUACGUUAGCAAUAGUCGGAUCUUUGAGUGACAGUAAAUUCUGUGGUAUUUAAGUAUUAGCACAAAAUGCAUCUACUUGCUGGUGUAAAUGAAGUGUGAGGGGAGAGGUGGGAGUGCUAAAUGUGGAAAAUAAAGCUAAGCUAAUUAAAGGGAUGCUGCAAGUGUCCCAACAGCUAGCAAAGGUCACACAA